rnacentral:rRNA from 1 species
GCCAGACUCCUACGGGAGGCAGCAGUGGGGAAUAUUGGACAAUGGGGGGAACCCUGAUCCAGCGACGCCGCGUGAGUGAAGAAGUAUUUCGGUAUGUAAAGCUCUAUCAGCAGGGAAGAAAGAAAUGACGGUACCUGACUAAGAAGCCCCGGCUAACUACGUGCCAGCAGCCGCGGUAAUACGUAGGGGGCGAGCGUUAUCCGGAUUCACUGGGUGUAAAGGGAGCGUAGACGGCCAAGCAAGCCAGGGGUGAAAGCCCGGGGCCCAACCCCGGGACUGCCCUUGGAACUGCAUGGCUGGAGUGCGGGAGGGGCAGGCGGAAUUCCUGGUGUAGCGGUGAAAUGCGUAGAUAUCAGGAGGAACACCGGCGGCGAAGGCGGCCUGCUGGACCGCGACUGACGUUGAGGCUCGAAAGCGUGGGGAGCGAACAGGAUUAGAUACCCGAGUAU